UACAGAGGGGGCAAGCGUUAUUCGGAAUUACUGGGCGUAAAGCGCACGUAGGCGGAUUUGUUAGUCAGGGGUGAAAUCCCGGGGCUCAACCUCGGAACUGCCUUUGAUACUGCAAGUCUCGAGUCCGAUAGAGGUGGGUGGAAUUCCUAGUGUAGAGGUGAAAUUCGUAGAUAUUAGGAAGAACACCGGUGGCGAAGGCGGCAUCCUGGCCCUGUCCUGACGCUCAGGGGCGAAAGCGUGGGGAGCAAACCGG
rnacentral:rRNA from 1 species